GCCUAGUUAGCUUGGAUAGUAGGGUGUCUGCUUUGAAAGCGCUAGGUUGCGGGUUUGAUUCCCGCGCGGGGCG
rnacentral:tRNA from 1 species